rnacentral:rRNA from 1 species
UACGUAGGGGGCUAGCGUUGUCCGGAUUUAUUGGGCGUAAAGAGCGUGUAGGCGGCCAGGUAGGUCUGCUGUGAAAACUCGAGGCUCAACCUCGAGACGUCGGCGGAAACCAUCUGGCUAGAGUCCGGAAGAGGAGAGUGGAAUUCCUGGUGUAGCGGUGAAAUGCGCAGAUAUCAGGAAGAACACCCGUGGCGAAGGCGGCUCUCUGGGACGGUACUGACGCUGAGACGCGAAAGCUAGGGGAGCGAAUUGG